rnacentral:rRNA from 1 species
GCGAGCGUUGUCCGGAUUUAUUGGGCGUAAAGGGCGUGUAGGCGGUUUUGUAAGUCUGAUGUGAAAGCCCCGGGCUCAACCUGGGAAUUGCAUCCAAAACUGUCUGACUAGAGUACGGUAGAGGGUAGUGGAAUUUCCUGUGUAGCGGUGAAAUGCGUAGAUAUAGGAAGGAACACCAGUGGCGAAGGCGACUACCUGGACUGAUACUGACACUGAGGUGCGAAAGCGUGGGGAGCAAACAG